rnacentral:misc_RNA from 1 species
UCCGGUUUAACACCGGCAGUCUCGUUAGAGUUCCCAGCAUGACCUGAUGGCAACUAACGACAGGGGUUUCGCUCGUUAAGGGACUUAACCCGACAUCUCACGACACGAGCUGACGACAGCCAUGCAACACCUAUAUACGUUCCACCGGUUAAGGUGUCACUCUACUUUCAUAGAGCUAAUCCGUACAUUUCGAGCCCGGGUAAGGUUCUUCGCGUUGCAUCGAAUUAAGCAACAUGCUCCACCGCUUGUGUGAGCCCCCGUCAAUUCCUUUGAGUUUUAACCUUGCGGCCGUACUCCCCAGGCGGCUCACUUCACGCGUUAGCUUCGGUACCAAGGAGUCGACACCUCCCACACCUAGUGCCCAUCGUUUACGGCGUGGACUAC